rnacentral:rRNA from 1 species
CUUGAACGCUGGCGGCAGGCCUAACACAUGCAAGUCGAACGAGUGGCGGACGGGUGAGUAAUGUCUGGGAAACUGCCCGAUGGAGGGGGAUAACUCCUGGAAACGGUAGCUAAUACCGCAUACCAUCGGAUGUGCCCAGAUGGGAUUAGCUAGAAGGUGGGGUAACGGCUCACCUAGGCGACGAUCCCUAGCUGGUUUGAGAGGAUGACCAGCCACACUGGAACGGAGACACGGUUCAGACUCCUACGGGAGUCAGCAGUGGGGAAUAGUGCGAAAUGGGCGCAAGCCUGAUGCAGCCAUGCCGCGUGUAUGAAGAGGGCCUGCGGGUUGUAAAGUACUUUCAGCGAGGAGGCGUUACUCGCAGAAGAAGCACCGGCUAACUCCGUGCCAGCAGCCGCGGUAAUAC